GACGUAGGGCGCGAGCGUUGUCCGGAUUUAUUGGGCGUAAAGGGUGCGUAGGCGGCGCGAUAAGUCGGGUGUGAAAUCUCGGAGCUUAACUCCGAAAUUGCAUUCGAAACUGCCGUGACUCGAGUCCGGUAGGGGAGUGUGGAAUUCCCGGUGUAGCGGUGAAAUGCGCAGAUAUCGGGAGGAACACCAGUAGCGAAGGCGGCACUCUGGGCCGGUACUGACGCUGAGGAGCGAAAGCGUGGGGAGCGAACAGG
rnacentral:rRNA from 1 species